rnacentral:ncRNA from 1 species
GGGCUGUAUGAAAGGAGAGGUUAGCACUCCCCUUGACAAGGACUGAAGAGGCCCUUGGGCCUUACAACACACAUACAGUUAAGGCAUUGCCACCUACUUUGUGGCAUCUAACCACUGUUUUUG